UACGGAGGAUGCGAGCGUUAUCCGGAUUUAUUGGGUUUAACGGGUGCGUAGGCGGACGCUUAAGUCAGCGGUAAAAUUGCGGGGCUCAACCUCGUCGAGCCGUUGAAACUGGGGAUCUAGAGUGUGCGAGAGGUAUGCGGAAUGCGUGGUGUAGCGGUGAAAUGCAUAGAUAUCACGCAGAACCCCGAUUGCGAAGGCAGCAUACCGGCGCUCAACUGACGCUCAUGCACGAAAGUGUGGGUAUCGAACAGG
rnacentral:rRNA from 1 species